rnacentral:tRNA from 1 species
GCAUUCGUAGUGUAGUGGUUAGCACACUCGGCGCGUAUUCGAGAGGUCCAAGUUCGAGUCCCAGCGAAGGCA